CCUACGGGAGGCUGCAGUGGGGAAUAUUGGACAAUGGGGGGAACCCUGAUCCAGCCAUGCCGCGUGUGUGAAGAAGGCCCUCGGGUUGUAAAGCACUUUCAGUGAGGAAGAACGCCUGGUGGUUAAUACCCAUCAGGAAAGACAUCACUCACAGAAGAAGCACCGGCUAACUCCGUGCCAGCAGCCGCGGUAAUACGAGGGUGCGAGCGUUAAUCGGAAUUACUGGGCGUAAAGCGCGCGUAGGUGGCUUGAUAAGCCGGUUGUGAAAGCCCCGGGCUCAACCUGGGAACGGCAUCCGGAACUGUCAAGCUAGAGUGCAGGAGAGGAAGGUAGAAUUCCCGGUGUAGCGGUGAAAUGCGUAGAGAUCGGGAGGAAUACCAGUGGCGAAGGCGGCCUUCUGGACUGACACUGACACUGAGGUGCGAAAGCGUGGGUAGCAAACAGGAUUAGAUACCCUAGUAGUC
rnacentral:rRNA from 1 species